rnacentral:rRNA from 1 species
AAAUUGAAGAGUUUGAUCAUGGCUCAGAUUGAACGCUGGCGGCAGGCCUAACACAUGCAAGUCGAGCGGUAGCACAGAGAGCUUGCUCUCGGGUGACGAGCGGCGGACGGGUGAGUAAUGUCUGGGAAACUGCCUGAUGGAGGGGGAUAACUACUGGAAACGGUAGCUAAUACCGCAUAACGUCGCAAGACCAAAGUGGGGGACCUUCGGGCCUCAUGCCAUCAGAUGUGCCCAGAUGGGAUUAGCUAGUAGGUGGGGUAACGGCUCACCUAGGCGACGAUCCCUAGCUGGUCUGAGAGGAUGACCAGCCACACUGGAACUGAGACACGGUCCAGACUCCUACGGGAGGCAGCAGUGGGGAAUAUUGCACAAUGGGCGCAAGCCUGAUGCAGCCAUGCCGCGUGUGUGAAGAAGGCCUUCGGGUUGUAAAGCACUUUCAGCGGGGAGGAAGGCGGUGAGGUUAAUAACCUCACCGAUUGACGUUACCCGCAGAAGAAGCACCGGCUAACUCCGUGCCAGCAGCCGCGGUAAUACGGAGGGUGCAAGCGUUAAUCGGAAUUACUGGGCGUAAAGCGCACGCAGGCGGUCUGUCAAGUCGGAUGUGAAAUCCCCGGGCUCAACCUGGGAACUGCAUUCGAAACUGGCAGGCUAGAGUCUUGUAGAGGGGGGUAGAAUUCCAGGUGUAGCGGUGAAAUGCGUAGAGAUCUGGAGGAAUACCGGUGGCGAAGGCGGCCCCCUGGACAAAGACUGACGCUCAGGUGCGAAAGCGUGGGGAGCAAACAGGAUUAGAUACCCUGGUAGUCCACGCUGUAAACGAUGUCGAUUUGGAGGUUGUGCCCUUGAGGCGUGGCUUCCGGAGCUAACGCGUUAAAUCGACCGCCUGGGGAGUACGGCCGCAAGGUUAAAACUCAAAUGAAUUGACGGGGGCCCGCACAAGCGGUGGAGCAUGUGGUUUAAUUCGAUGCAACGCGAAGAACCUUACCUGGUCUUGACAUCCACAGAACUUUCCAGAGAUGGAUUGGUGCCUUCGGGAACUGUGAGACAGGUGCUGCAUGGCUGUCGUCAGCUCGUGUUGUGAAAUGUUGGGUUAAGUCCCGCAACGAGCGCAACCCUUAUCCUUUGUUGCCAGCGGUUAGGCCGGGAACUCAAAGGAGACUGCCAGUGAUAAACUGGAGGAAGGUGGGGAUGACGUCAAGUCAUCAUGGCCCUUACGACCAGGGCUACACACGUGCUACAAUGGCAUAUACAAAGAGAAGCGACCUCGCGAGAGCAAGCGGACCUCAUAAAGUAUGUCGUAGUCCGGAUUGGAGUCUGCAACUCGACUCCAUGAAGUCGGAAUCGCUAGUAAUCGUAGAUCAGAAUGCUACGGUGAAUACGUUCCCGGGCCUUGUACACACCGCCCGUCACACCAUGGGAGUGGGUUGCAAAAGAAGUAGGUAGCUUAACCUUCGGGAGGGCGCUUACCACUUUGUGAUUCAUGACUGGGGUGAAGUCGUAACAAGGUAACCGUAGGGGAACCUGCGGUUGGAUCACCUCCUUA